CUAACCCUAAAAGUCUAACCCUAAAAGUCUAACCCUAAAAGUCUAACCCUAAAAGUCUAAGUCUACCACCUAACACCUAAGUCUAACCCAAUGUCUCACAGUCUACCUUACCUUCACACCUACCUGUUGCACUUAGCUUCAAGUGGGAUCUGUGACCUGGUAAUGUUGAAUCAAGGCACACCACUGAAUUAGAUUGCACAAGUAUUUGUUCAUUACAGCACUGUUUCCUCAAGACAUGACUCAUACAAUUGUAUGCACACUACAGCAAUGCCUACAUGUUGACAAACAAAACAUGAAUACACUGAUUCCAUACAAUUGCAAGACACCGUUUACAGGCGCAGCACCCGCGCACUCCAUACAUUUUAAGGCAUGGUUUACAUAUAACACAUAUGUCCGAUUCACAAGACAAAGGUCACAAAGCCUCCAUAUCCAAUAAAUAACAUUACAUUUACACUAAUAUUGUGUACUGCAACCCACCUCAAGAGCAGAGCACAUCUCAGCCCACCUGAAGUAAAUGCAAGCCUCAGACUGGCCGGGAAGGAGCGCAAAUGGGCUCUGUUGGUUACGGGGUUGGGUUAGCCCUGCGGUACAAACAAACAAAGCAAAGCUAACCCAACCCCGUAAGCAAGGCUAAGCUAAAGCCAAUUUGGCUGAGAUCAAUUGAUUGCAAAGCUAAAGCCAAUUUGGGCAAGACAAAUUGACUGCACCUGCCAAAAUCGGCACAACUCUCAGAAUGGCCGCAAAGGGGCGCGAGUCUCAGACUGGCCGGGAAGGAGCGCAAAUGGGCUCCAAUGGCCUCAGGCGUUGGUUACGGGGUUGGGUUAGCCCUGCGGUACAAACAAACAAAGCAAAGCUAACCCAACCCCGUAAGCAAGGCUAAGCUAAAGCCAAUUUGGCUGAGAUCAAUUGAUUGCAAAGCUAAAGCCAAUUUGGGCAAGAUCAGUUGAUUGCAAAGCUAAAGCCAAUUUGGGCAAGAUCAAUUGAUUGCAAAGCUAAAGCCAAUUUGGGCAAGAUCAAUUGACUGCACCUGCCAAAAUCGGCACAACUCUCAGAAUGGCCACAAAGGGGCGCGAGUCUCAGACUGGCCGGGAAGGAGCGCAAAUGGGCUCCGAAGGCCUCGGGCGUUGGUUACGGGGUUGGGUUAGCCCUGCGGUACAAACAAACAAAGCAAAGCUAACCCAACCCCGUAAGCAAGGCAAAGCUAAAGCCAACUUAUUUGCAAUGCAUUAACUGCAAAGCUAAAGCCAAUUUGGUUGAGAUAAAUUAUUUGUAAAGCUAAAGCCAAUUGGGUUGAUGCAAAAUGACUGCACGCGCUGAAAUCAGUGUGACUCUCAGCAUGGCCGUGAGUCUCAAACAGCCUGGAUGGAGUGCGAAUGGUCCCUGUCCAGCUACGGGAUGUCAGUUACGGGAUUAGGGUCAGCCACGCUAGCAAUCUCAAAGCGAAGGUGACCCAACCCCCUGAGUGAGGCAAAGCCUUUGAUGUGCUAUCCCUCAAAAUUCUCUGAAAGAUUGCAGCCGGCUACUUGGACGGGUACGCUGCUUGCUAGAUGAAGAAGUAGCUGAACCGCCUGGCCUAAUGAGUGCUGCUCCAUCGUGUUAAAUGCAGCUGGUAUGCCAUCCUGAGUGCUCUUCAGGCCUGUUCUGUCCAAUAUCUUCAUUGAAGACCUGCCUGAUGGCAUGGAGUGCACCUUUGGUAAGUUUGCUGAGGGUGUUGCAUCAGAUUAGCACUAUGUUUGGAGUUCAGAGCUCAUUAGGAUUGGGGUGAAGGUAUAAGGGUUAGGUUUAUUAGGGUUAUGCUCAAAGGGACUGGUAGGGAAGGCCAAGGCAAAGGCAACAACACCCGAGGGAACACCAAAACCGAGGGCAAAGGCAUAGACAACAACCAAGGGAAGGCAACGUCAAAGGCACAGUGAAAGCAAAGGUAUGGAGAACACCAAAGAGAAGACCUCCUCAGAGGGCAGGCCCAAAGAGAGGGCCUCAGAGAACAAAACAGAGACCAAAGAGAACACCGUGGCAAGGCCAAAAUGGAGGGCGAGGUCCAUGAGAACGCUGCAGGGAAGGCCGAUGCAGGAGGCCAAGGGCAAUGGCCAAAGAGAAUGCAGCACAGAAGGCCAAAACCAAAGACCGAAGAGAACGCUGUAGGGAAUGCCAAAACAAGAAGGCCAAAGGCAAAGGCCAAACAGAACGCAACAAGGAAUGCCAAAACCAAAGGCCAAAGAGAUCGUCGCAGAGAAUGCCACGACAGGAGGCUGAAAGGAGCACGGCAAAGAAGGCCAAGGGCAAAGGUCAAAGAGAACAUGGAAGGCAACGCCAAAGAGAAUGUGGCAAAGGCGGUCAAACGCAAUGGCCAGGAGAACGUGGCAUGGAUGGCAAAAACAUAAGGCCAAAUAGAACACUGCAUGGAACACCAGAAGUGAUGGCCAAAGAGAACGCAGCAGGGAAUGCCAAAACCGGAGGCCAAAAAGAAUGCCGCAAAGAAGGCCAAAGGCAAUGGCCAAGAGAACAUGACAAGGAAUGCAAAAACAAGAGGACAAGAGAAUGUAGUAGGGAACGCCAAGGGCAAAGGGAAGGAGAACACCACCGUGAAAGGCCAGAGCCAAGGAGAACGUGCAAAGAAUAGGACGGGCAGCCUUUGGGGAACCCUGAAGUGCAGAAAGGAGCUCUGGGAACCCUACCUUGUGUCUCACUCAGUAAGGGGUAAACACUGGUGGGUGUGCAUUGUCCUUACCUGCUGGCAGACAAUUACCAGUCAGCAAAGUGGAGCUCCAGGGCAUCCCGGGAAAUGCAGCUUUCGGUUCCUGGCUGUUCCCGUGAAGACCCGCACAUCUCUCCGUGCAGUCCUUACAGCACUCGGGAGCGCUGCAGCUCUCUGCUGCCACCUGUUGGACACAAUGCAGGAAUGAAGGCGCUGCCCCGCAUAUGUAGGGCUGCACCCUGCGUGCAUUGCUCUAUAGGAUGACGCAAGGGAGUAUUAGGAAUAUAAUAAAUGCUAUGCAUAAGUUUGAAGUUACAAUUAGCUUAACAAUUGUUUUCCACACUAUGAUUAGGAUUAAGGGUACUGUGACAGAAAACAAGCGGCAUUAUUUUUAUUGCAGCAUUUAGGUUAAGAGACAUUUUUAAUAUUGGCUUAAUAGUUAGGUUUACAUAUACACUGUGGGUUAACAUAAUUAUCAUUAGAGCUCACAUUAAGCUACGGGUUCAGGUCAAGAUUAACAUUCACGCUGCCUCCCAGCCAAUCCCAGAGAGCCAAAGAAAAAAGGCAAGCUGAACUCCCACCGAAAGCCAAGGUAAAGGCAAAGCAAACAGCCAAGGUGAAGGGAAGGGCAAAAGCAAGGAGAGCACCCAACGGAAAGCCAAGGUGAGGGCGAGGAGACAGCAGCAGGAAAGGCCAAGGGCAAAGGCCAAGAGAACACAGCAAAAAAUGCCAAAACAGACGGCCGAGGGAACACGGCAUGGAAUGCUCAGGUCAGGGCAAGGGCUAAGAGAACGUGGCAGGAAGUGCCAAAACAGGAGGCCAAAGAGAACACGGCAAAGAAGGCCAAGGCAGAAGGCUGAGAGAAGGGAGUAUUAGGGAUAUAAUUAAUGCUGUUUAUAAGUUACUUAAUGGGGGUCAGGGGAUGGGAGGAAAAGGUGUGGGGGUUUGGGUAUCAUACAGAUUAGGAAACAAAUAGCAUCUCCUGACAAUUGGGAUGAGAUAUCUGGAGAUCCUGACUGUAGUCAUCCAGAAGAGGACAACCCUUUCUUUUUUAUUAACACAAACCCAGAUCUGCUGGUGAGACAGAAAUGACCGUAAUACCCUGGGGAAGUCAGCAUAGUCGUGAUGUUCCAUUAGCUGCUCCACAGGCCUCACACCACCGAUUAGAGGAGUCCCAACAAUCCUUAAAACCCACUGAGCUGCAAACUGAGACCAGAAGAGAGGACAUAAUUUAAAACAUGAUAAUGAUGCCCAGCAUGCCCUUAAACAACUCUGCGUGGGUGUAAUUAACACAUGCCACUGUGAAUUACAGCCAUAAGAUGGGAUGAUGGGGGAGAAGACAAACCACAUUUGGAGCUGAGGUUGGAGAUCAUGAGGUGAAAACCAUGAAAGAGGAAACAGCGGCUCAACCAGAAAGAAAUGGGCUUGAAAAGGGCUGCAAACAGGACCUGCAGAAUGCAGAACCCCUGAACGGAAUAGGGUAUUAACUGUCACCGUGUCCAGAACCGCAG
ensembl:lncRNA